ACAGUGGUGGUUCAGUGGUAGAAUUCUCACCUUCCAUGCAGGAGACCUGAGUUCAAUUCCUGGCCAAUGCA
rnacentral:tRNA from 1 species